ensembl:snRNA
CUGUUGUUUGAAAGGAGAGGCUAGCACUCGCCUUGGGCCCAACAACAAGCACACAGUUAAGGCAUUGCUGCCUACUUGGUGGCAUCUAACCACUGCUUUUA